GCCUUCGUGGUGUAGUGGUCAGCACGCUCGACGCGUAACCGAGAGGUCCGUGGUUCGAUUCCUGGCGAAGGCA
rfam:Stegodyphus mimosarum contig82202, whole genome shotgun sequence.